CAAUAGCGUAUAUUAAAGUUGCUGCAGUUAAAAAGCUCGUAGUUGGAUUUCGGGGCAGCCUGGCUGGUCCGCCGCAAGGCGAGUACUGGUCAGCCGCCCUUCCUCUCGAAAGCCCCGACUGCUCUUUAUUGCAGUGGUCGGGUAGUUCGGGACGUUUACUUUGAAAAAAUUAGAGUGUUCAAGGCAGGCCUACGCCUGAAUACAUUAGCAUGGAAUAAUGGAAGAGGACCUCGGUCCUAUUUUGUUGGUUUCCAGGACCGAAGUAAUGAUUAAGAGGGACAGUUGGGGGCAUUCGUAUUUAAUUGUCAGAGGUGAAAUUCUCGGAUUUAUGAAAGACGAACAACUGCGAAAGCAUUUGCCAAGGAUGUUUUCAUUAA
rnacentral:rRNA from 1 species